GAUGAACGCUGGCGGCGUGCCUAAUACAUGCAAGUCGAGCGAACAGACGAGGAGCUUGCUCCUCUGACGUUAGCGGCGGACGGGUGAGUAACACGUGGAUAACCUACCUAUAAGACUGGGAUAACUUCGGGAAACCGGAGCUAAUACCGGAUAAUAUAUUGAACCGCAUGGUUCAAUAGUGAAAGACGGUUUUGCUGUCACUUAUAGAUGGAUCCGCGCCGCAUUAGCUAGUUGGUAAGGUAACGGCUUACCAAGGCAACGAUGCGUAGCCGACCUGAGAGGGGGACCGCCCCAACGGAAAUGGAGACCCGGCCAGGCCCCCAAGGGGAGCCAGAAGGGGGGAAUCUCCCGAAAGGGGCAAAGCCCUGCGGGAGCACCGCCGCGUGAGUAAGGAGGGUCUUCGGUUGUAAAACCUUUUUUUUGAGGAAAAAAAAAUUGUGAAAGUAACUAGCCACGUCUGGAGGUUACUAAACAAGAAGCCCCCGGCAACCUACG
rnacentral:rRNA from 1 species